UACGGGGGGGGCAAGCGUUUGUUCGGAAUUACUGGGCGUAAAGGGCUCGUAGGCGGCCAACUAAGUCAGACGUGAAAUCCCUCGGCUUAACCGGGGAACUGCAUCUGAUACUGGAUGGCUUGAGUUCGGGAGAGGGAUGCGGAAUUCCAGGUGUAGCGGUGAAAUGCGUAGAUAUCUGGAGGAACACCGGUGGCGAAGGCGGCAUCCUGGACCGACACUGACGCUGAGGAGCGAAAGCCAGGGGAGCAAAGCGGG
rnacentral:rRNA from 1 species